rnacentral:rRNA from 1 species
AGUGAACGCUGGCGGUAGGCCUAACACAUGCAAGUCGAACGGCAGCAUCGUAAUUGGUUGCGCUUAGGGGUGGCGAGUGGCGGAAGGGUGCGGAAGACACCGGAAACUACUUUUUCACUGGGGAUAACGUCGGGAGAGUUACGCUAAUACCGCAUACAACCUACUGAUGAAAGCAGGGGAUCGUCUGACCUUGCGCGAUGGAAUGAGCCGAUGUUGGAUUAGCUAGUUGGCGGGGUAAAGGCCAAGCAAGGCGACGAUCCGUAGCUGGUCUGAGAGGAUGAUCAGGCACACUGGAAGUGAGACAGGGUCCAGACUCCUACGCGAGGCAGCAGUCGGGAAUAUUGGGCAAUGGGCGCAAGCCUGAUCCAGCCAUACCGCGUGAGUGAAGAAGGCCUCAGGGUUGGAAAGCCCUGUAGUUGGGAAAGAAGAGCAGUAGUUUAACCCCGCGCUGUUAUGACGGUACCCAAAGAAGAAGCACCGGCUAACUUCGUG